rnacentral:lncRNA from 1 species
CAUAAUUCGAAAAUCACAGUCGUGUAUGAACAGUGGAUGUAAGAUGUCAUUCUCACCUUAAAAGAGUACACUGCUUUGGAUGAGAAAGCACUGUCCAUACUCCGCCCCCUGAGGAUUCUGGUAAUGUUGUUGUUGUAAUAAAAGGAAAUGGGUUUUAAAAUGUUGUACAGCAACAUCCUAAAACCCAAAAAGUUCAGAACCCUCGCCCAGGUUGGCUAAAGAAGGCGCCAGGGCUAAUGCUUGCGCACGCAUUCACUUAGGUACUUGCGCAGACGCUUGCGAUCACGCUCGCGCAGACGCUUUCCUUCACGUUCGAGCCUACGUCUUUCCCUUUGCUCACGUUUCGCUGGCGAAGACGCCAGUGGUAAUUCCUUACCCAGAUGGGCAGAGGCUCGUUGUCAACUGGAUUCUCGAAGAACCGCACAUCGAUGUUUUCCGAGAAGUGUACGUACCGGUCACUUGGGUUGGGCCGCACAGCCACCGGCGGAUCCACUAAGGUCACAUACCAUGUGGCUGACGACGACACCACUGGUGCCGGCACUUCUUUCGUCGACUCCGCUGAAGCUCUUCUUCCUAAACAAAGCUGUCGAAACCAUCCAAAACACUGAAGAAAAGAAAGUAACGUUAGGCCAUUAAAUGAAGUUGAAAUUUGCAAAUUGAUUCAUAAAUUAAUCUGCACUAAAUUUUAGGCUCGGAUCAAGUUUAUUCUAUUGUGAUAUAUUGUAUUUAAAUUUUUUCGAUGUACUGGUAUCAAUUAAUCGAAGUAUAAACGAAGAUUUAAAUUUGUUAGUAAUGUUUUGAUAUGCUAUCCAAACAUAUGAGAUAUAUGAGUUCCAUUUGCAAAUAAAAUUGCUAGAAUUCAGACAUACAUGUUAGACAGACAUACGUGGUGAUCAGGAAAUAAGUAUUCUUAAUGAUGGUAUAUUAGGUCGAGGUAUAAUAAUCAAAUAUAACAACAAUUUCACUGCGCAAUUUAAUAACAACAUUACCCGGUGGAACAAAUGUAAAUUUUGAAGAGGAGAUACACGACUCACACCCAGUGAAAUAAGAUUGCCUGUGCUAAAAACAGGGAAAGGGAAAGAAUAGAAAUUAAAGAAAGGAUAAAAAUUUUGCUUUCAGCCUAUCAGUAGUGUUCUGACAGCAGAAGGAAGAAUGGAAACAGAAUUAAUGAUAAUAGCAGAAUUAGUAAUAGCACUAGCGAUUCAGAUAUUAUAUAUAUCGAAAGAAGAGUAUAUUUAACAGAAGAUAAAAUCAUAUCUUUAGAUAAGAAAUUAUAGCAUUGGUGAAUGUAACAGAGAUCAGAUAGAAAAACUGAACAGGCGUGAACCAGGUACAUUCAGAAACUCUGAAUGUACAGUCCCGUGCAAAAAGUUUGUCAGGUUACAGGAAAAUGUUCGGCUAUCCAGCAAUACGCACAAGUAUCGGC